AAAACCAGUCAGUAUCAGCAAAAACAAAAGUGUUCCAUCCAUCCAUCCAUCUUCGUCCGCUUAUUUGGGGGCAGCAGCUCCAGCAGGCUACCCAGGAGCAGUAGAAAAGUGUGCGUGCAUGCGUGCGUUACCCGUCUGAAGGAGACGACGUAGAAAGUGUCCUCUCUGCGGUCGAUGGCGUCCAUGAAGUCGCUGUAGGUGACCUCGGGACCAGGAAGCACCUGCAGCUGGCUGCAGACGGGAACAACAACAAGUUCAACGUCAAUAGAGCGGUGAGCCUGAAUCGGCAGAUAUCUGGAGAAGUUCGUCUUCCUCAGCUGGGCUUUCUGCAACAACAAAGUGGACUUCAAUGAUCCGUAUUUCUUUCUAAGGGACGCUGAAUCAAUAGCAACUGCAUUCUGCCCCAUUUUUGAACAUAGGACACAAACCCCUCCAAUGUUAAGGUUUCUCACAACAUACGCAAAGGCAGUUUUACUUGUAAACCUAACUUACUUUUUCAUUUAUGUGAAGAAAAAAAAGAAACCGAUGGAAUAAUAAAAAAAAAAAAAAACUCAAAAACAUAAAAACAGGCUUAUGAAAAAGAGGGAAAAAGCAGCGUCGGCUUUAACAGGAAGACGAGGAGGUCUACUGAACCUGGGCGAUUUUGGCCUUCUUGGCGAUUUUUGGUUUUCCUCCAGACUUCUUCCUGUCGAUCUGGUGCCGAUGGACCCAGCCCCUCAGCUCAUCUGCCAGCCUGGAGUACAUGUGGGGAGAGCCAGAAACACUAAACUGAGGCCAAAGAAAUUAAAUAAAUAAAACCCUCCCGCUCUCCUCCGAAACCCGUCUUUACAUCCUAUUAAAUUUAUUAAUUAUUCAUUUCUCACUCACUGUAACUUUUAUUCUUUUAUUUGUAUCGUAUUAUUUUUAUUUAUUUUCAUCAUGAUGACCAUGGAUAUUGCCGGAACAAGCUGAAACGCUGCUUUUACAUCCUUUUUUUAAAAUCACUCACGCAAUGAAUGUUUUUUUUUUUUUUUGGUAGACUGAUUUGUUCGUCCGUUUUGUGAACACAUUUUUGGGAAGCUCAUUUUAAGCAACAAAACAAUUUGUCAACGUGAGUAAAAUGUGUGUU